rnacentral:rRNA from 1 species
UACGAAGGGGGCUAGCGUUACUCGGAUUGACUGGGCGUAAAGGGCGCGUAGGCGGCACUGUUAGUCAGGCGUGAAAUUCCUGGGCUCAACCUGGGGACUGCGCUUGAUACGGCAGAGCUAGAGGAUGGAAGAGGCUCGCGGAAUUCCCAGUGUAGAGGUGAAAUUCGUAGAUAUUGGGAAGAACACCGGUGGCGAAGGCGGCGAGCUGGUCCAUUACUGACGCUGAGGCGCGACAGCGUGGGGAGCAAACAGG